UACGUAGGGGGCAAGCGUUAAUCGGAAUUACUGGGCGUAAAGCGUGCGCAGGCGGUCUUGUAAGUCUGUCGUGAAAUCCCCGGGCUCAACCUGGGAAUGGCGAUGGAGACUGCAAGGCUAGAGUUUGGCAGAGGGGGGUAGAAUUCCACGUGUAGCAGUGAAAUGCGUAGAGAUGUGGAGGAACACCGAUGGCGAAGGCAGCCCCCUGGGUCAAAACUGACGCUCAUGCACGAAAGCGUGGGGAGCAAACAGG
rnacentral:rRNA from 1 species